rnacentral:rRNA from 1 species
AGAACGAACGCUGGCGGCAUGCCUAAUACAUGCAAGUCGAACGAACUCUUCGGAGUUAGUGGCGCACGGGUGCGUAACGCGUGGGAAUCUGCCCCUUGGUUCGGAAUAACAGUUGGAAACGACUGCUAAUACCGGAUGAUGACGAAAGUCCAAAGAUUUAUCGCCAAGGGAUGAGCCCGCGUAGGAUUAGCUAGUUGGUGAGGUAAAGGCUCACCAAGGCAACGAUCCUUAGCUGGUCUGAGAGGAUGAUCAGCCACACUGGGACUGAGACACGGCCCAGACUCCUACGGGAGGCAGCAGUAGGGAAUAUGGACAAGUGGCGAAAGCCUGAUCCAGCAAUGCCGCGUGAGUGAUGAAGGCCUUAGGUUAGUAAGCUCUUUACCCGAGAUGAUAAUGACAGUAGUACGGGAAUAACGGCCCGACUAACUCCGUGCCAGCAGCCGACGGUAACUCGUACGGAGGCCGGGACGUCGGACCGAACGGGCCGACGAAGUAACG